rnacentral:rRNA from 1 species
GACGAACGCUGGCGGCGUGCUUAACACAUGCAAGUCGAACGGAAAGGCCCUGCUUUUGUGGGGUGCUCGAGUGGCGAACGGGUGAGUAACACGUGAGUAACCUGCCCUUGACUUUGGGAUAACUUCAGGAAACUGGGGCUAAUACCGGAUAGGAGCUCCUGCUGCAUGGUGGGGGUUGGAAAGUUUCGGCGGUUGGGGAUGGACGCGCAGGUUAUCGGCUUGUUGGUGGGGUAGUGGCAUACCAAGGCUUUGACGGGUAGGCGGCCUGAGAGGGUGACCGGCCACAAUAGUACUGAGAUACGGCCCAGACUCCUACGGUAGGCAGCAGUGGGGAAUAUUGCACAAUGGGCGGAAGCCUGAUGCAGCAACCCCGCGUGCGGGAUGACGGCCUUCGGGUUGUAAACCGCUUUCGCCUGUGACGAAGCGUUAGUGACGGUAAUGGGUAAAAAAGCACCGGCUAACUACGUG